CUCUCAUCCCAGGGGAUGUUUUGCUGCUCAAAAUCACCUGAGGAACACCAGCAAGCCCCAGCCCAUGAACAUUCCUGCUCCCUCCUGCCAUGCCAUACACCAAACCACUUCAAUCACAGGAUCUGAUUUGGCUCAAGCUGAAGACUGAGCUAUAAAGGCUGUGAGACACUGCAGAGAGAUCAAAGGGAGUUAAAGGUUGAGGCAAAACCCUGUUAGCUGUGAGGGUGCCACACUUCCACUCUCAUCUGACCAAGCUGCAAGAAACCAGGACUCCUGUGACCUCGGGCUGAAGAAUAAG